rnacentral:rRNA from 1 species
GGCGGUGGGUAGGAAGGGUACGCUCAAGUUGGCGCGUGGAAUUCCCGAGGCUCCAACCUCAGUACUUCAUUCUAAACUGUCGACCUGUACUCACUAGAGGCAGAGUGUAAUGCGAGUGUAGAGGUGAAAUUCGUAGAUAGUCGCAGGAACACCAGUUGAGAAUGCGACUUGCUGGACUUGUAGGGACGUAGAGACGUGAAAGCGUGGGGAGCAAACAGGAUUAGAUACCUUGGUAGUCCACGCGGUACAUGAUGAGAUCUAGUUGUCGGCACGCAUUCGUGUCGGCGACGCAGCUCUCGCAAUAAGCUCUCCGCCUGGGGAGUACGGCCGCAAGGUUAAAAAUCACAGAAAUUGACGGGGGCCUGCACAAGCGGUGGAGCAUGUGGUUUAAUUCGAAGCAACGCGAAGAACCUUACAUAUGUUUGACAUGUCCAGUAUGACCUAGAGAGAUUUGGGUCUUCAGUUCGGCUGGCUGGAACACAGGUUCUGCAUGGCUGUCGUCAGCUCGUGUCGUGAGAUGUUGGGUUAAGUCCCGCAACGAGUGCAACCCUCGGUACUAGUUGCUCCCAGGUUAAGCCGAGCACUCUAGUGGAACUGCCGGUGGCAAGCCGGAGGAAGGUGGGGAGGACGUCAAGUCCUCAUGGCCCUUACACGUAGGGCUACACACGUGAUACAAUGGCGAGUACAGAGGGUUAAUCCCUAAAAGUCGUUUCAGUUCGGAUUGUCCUUUGCAACUCGAGUGCAUGAAGUUUGAAUCGCUAGUAAUCGCGGAUCAGCAUGCCGCGGGGAAUUCGUUCCCGGACCUCGUGCACCCCGCCCGUCACCCCAUGGGAGUCGGUUCUACCCGAAGGUGGUGCGCUAACCGCAAGGAGGCAGCCAACCACGGUGGGGUCAGCGACAGGGGCGAAGUCGUAACAAGGAACCA